rnacentral:rRNA from 1 species
CGAAGGUUGGCUAAUCCUGGUCGGACAUCAGGAGGUUAGUGCAAUGGCAUAAGCCAGCUUGACUGCGAGCGUGACGGCGCGAGCAGGUGCGAAAGCAGGUCAUAGUGAUCCGGUGGUUCUGAAUGGAAGGGCCAUCGCUCAACGGAUAAAAGGUACUCCGGGGAUAACAGGCUGAUACCGCCCAAGAGUUCAUAUCGACGGCGGUGUUUGGCACCUCGAUGUCGGCUCAUCACAUCCUGGGGCUGAAGUAGGUCCCAAGGGUAUGGCUGUUCGCCAUUUAAAGUGGUACGCGAGCUGGGUUUAGAACGUCGUGAGACAGUUCGGUCCCUA